rnacentral:rRNA from 1 species
CACGUAGGGCGCAAGCGUUGUCCGGAAUUAUUGGGCGUAAAGAGCUCGUAGGUGGUUUGUUACGUCUGCUGUGAAAACCUAGGGCUUAACCCUGGGCUUGCAGUGGAUACGGGCAGACUAGAGGUAGGUAGGGGAGAAUGGAAUUCCUGGUGUAGCGGUGAAAUGCGCAGAUAUCAGGAGGAACACCGGUGGCGAAGGCGGUUCUCUGGGCCUUACCUGACACUGAGGAGCGAAAGCGGUGGGAGAACAGG